rnacentral:rRNA from 1 species
AUUGAACGCUGGCGGCAUGCCUAACACAUGCAAGUCGAACGGAAACGAUGGAAGCUUGCUUCCAGGCGUCGAGUGGCGGACGGGUGAGUAAUACUUAGGAAUCUGCCCAAUAGUGGGGGACAACUCGGGGAAACUCGAGCUAAUACCGCAUACGACCUACGGGUGAAAGCAGGGGAUCUUCGGACCUUGCGCUAUUGGAUGAGCCUAAGUCGGAUUAGCUUGUUGGUGGGGUAAAGGCCUACCAAGGCGACGAUCCGUAGCUGGUCUGAGAGGACGAUCAGCCAUACUGGGACUGAGACACGGCCCAG